rnacentral:SRP_RNA from 1 species
GGGUAAGUCCUGUACGGCCAGCUCCCAAUGAAUCCUCCAGGUCGGGAACGAAGCAAAGGCAGUUGGUUGUAGCGGCGCGAUACGGGUAGCUUGCCCACC